UACAGAGGUCUCAAGCGUUGUUCGGAUUCAUUGGGCGUAAAGGGUGCGUAGGCGGCGCGGUAAGUCGGAUGUGAAAUCUCGGAGCUUAACUCCGAAACUGCAUUUGAUACUGCGGUGCUUGAGGACUGGAGAGGAGACUGGAAUUCAUGGUGUAGCAGUGAAAUGCGUAGAUAUCGGAAGGAACAUCAGUGCGAAAGCGGCUUCCUGGUCCAGCACCGAC
rnacentral:rRNA from 1 species